GAGUACGGGGCUCGUGCCUGAGCAGGUGUCCAGAGGGCCACAGGGGCUCAGUCUCGCUGAGGACACUCGAGACCGCGUGGAAUCCGCCGCAGCACUGUCCCCAAGAGGCGAGAAGGUGGGGUGCGCACCCAGCCCGCCCACCGCACCCACAGCCCCGGAAAGCUCCACUGCCCAUACCUCAAUGAAAGCUUCUUAACUCGGGUGAUUCACACCAGCUCCUCGGGGAUUCACAGAAGCAAGAGCCCAGAGAAUGUUGACAGAUGAAAGAGCCCCUGGCCGAAAGCCUGGAGCCAAAGCCUGAGAGGCCCUCUCUCUCUUUCACUCACUGACACAACAAUGUGUGUUUGUUUUGUUUUGUUUUUUCUUUUUUCUUUUUGGUACCGGGGAUCUAACUCGGGUCCUUGCACUUGCGCAGCAGGCGGCGAAACCACUGAGCUAAAUCCCCGGCCCAAUAUCCACCUGGGUUAUCAGGCUCCUGAGUCCAGUAUAAAUUUACUCCUAAUGAUUUCAAACCCAUCAGUAAAAUAUGAAGAUGCUGUGGAACCUGUGUGUACCACGAUGAGGGGCUUGGCAGCCUGUGGGAGCUGUAUGGGGUGCAGGGCAGUGCAUGAAGCUGGAGCCCAAGAGGCAGUGAUGCCGGGAAUGCAGGACCCUGG